UACGGAAGGCAGCAGUGGGGAAUAUUGCACAAUGGGCGCAAGCCUGAUGCAGCCAUGCCGCGUGUAUGAAGAAGGCCUUCGGGUUGUAAAGUACUUUCAGUCGUGAGGAAGGUGUUAAGGUUAAUAACCCUAGCAAUUGACGUUAGCGACAGAAGAAGCACCGGCUAACUCCGUGCCAGCAGCCGCGGUAAUACGGAGGGUGCGAGCGUUAAUCGGAAUUACUGGGCGUAAAGGGCACGCAGGCGGUUAAUUAAGUUGGAUGUGAAAUCCCCGGGCUUAACCUGGGAAUGGCAUUCAAGACUGGUUAGCUAGAGUCUUGUAGAGGGGGUAGAAUUCCAUGUGUAGCGGUGAAAUGCGUAGAGAUGUGGAGGAAUACCGGUGGCGAAGGCGGCCCCUGGACAAAGACUGACGCUCAUGUGCGAAAGCGUGGGGAGCAAACAGGGAUUAGAUACC
rnacentral:rRNA from 1 species